GUUGUCUGGAAUUCUCUCGUUUUCUUCGCAGGCAGUAUACUGCCCACUGGCCCACCACCUCAGGGGAACGAUGGCCACAGAGUCUACAGCCACUGCUGCCAUCGCCGCGGAACUGGUUUCCGCUGACAAAGUUGAAGAUGCUCCUGCUCCUUCUACCUCUGCAGAUAAAAUGGAGAGUCUGGAUGUGGAUAGUGAAGCUAAGAAACUACUGGGAUUAGGACAGAAACAUCUGGUGAUGGGUGACAUUCCAGCAGCUGUUAAUGCAUUCCAAGAAGCAGCUAGUCUUUUGUAAGUAUUUGUUCUAUUGUAAAACAGUAGUAUAUUGCUUACAAACUUGUAACAGGUUUUCUAUUGGGAGAAAGAAGGAAGAAUGAGGGUAGAAAUAUAGGAGCAUGAUGGUAGAGUGCUUGCCUAUCUAUAUAUGUGAACUCCCAUGUGUAAUCUGCUGAACCACAAAAACAACUCUGGCUUUUUAUUUUCUGAGGAUGAAUUUUUUCAUGAUUCUAAAACCUAAAUAUCACUCAGUAAUUUCAGUCUUUAAUUUUUUGAAUAAGGUGAUUUUUAUCAUAGUCAUUAAUAAGGACACAUAAGUAAUUUUUUACUUUUUAUUAUAUAAAACAUGUUUGAGAGUUGAAUGGUUGUGAACAUACCUUUAAUCUUAGAAUUUUGGAGGCAGAGGCCAGCCUGGGUUACAGAGGGAGUACUAGCACAUCCAGGUAUACAGAGAAACUGUCUCGAAGUAGAUACUUGGGUUUAAUUCUAAGUUCUUUUAGAUGGAAAGUAAGUAUAUUACCAUUAAGCCCUUUCCUUAUUCUACUGGGGUAUAUCAGUUUGGUUUCUAUUUUUUAAUUUUUUUAUGUGU
rnacentral:lncRNA from 1 species